rnacentral:rRNA from 1 species
GAUGAACGCUAGCGGCAGGCCUAACACAUGCAAGUCGAGGGGCAGCACAGGUAGCAAUACUGGGUGGCGACCGGCGGAUGGGUGCGUAACGCGUAUGCAACCUACCAUUGAUUGGGGCAUAGCCCGAAGAAAUUCGGAUUAAUACUCCAUAAUAUUCAUCAAAGGCAUCUUUUAUGAAUUAAAGCUUUUGCGAUCAAUGAUGGGCAUGCGUGACAUUAGUUAGUUGGUGAGGUAACGGCUCACCAAAACGAUGAUGUCUAGGGGUUCUGAGAGGAUUAUCCCCCAACUGGUACUGAGACACGGACCAGACUCCUACGGGAGGCAGCAGUGAGGAAUAUUGGUCAAUGGACGCAAGUCUGAACCAGCCAUGCCGCGUGCAGGAUGACGGCCCUAUGGGUUGUAAACUGCUUUUCCAGGGUAGAGAAACUUGCGUACGCGUUGCGCAAUUGACGGUACCCUGGGAAUAAGCAUCGGCUAACCG